rnacentral:rRNA from 1 species
UACGUAGGGGGCAAGCGUUGUCCGGAAUCAUUGGGCGUAAAGAGCGUGUAGGCGGCCCGAUAAGUCCGCCGUGAAAGUCCAGGGCUCAACCCUGGAAUGCCGGUGGAAACUGUCGGGCUGGAGUCCGGAAGAGGCGAGUGGAAUUCCUGGUGUAGCGGUGAAAUGCGCAGAUAUCAGGAGGAACACCAAUGGCGAAGGCAGCUCGCUGGGACGGUACUGACGCUGGAGACGCGAAAGCGUGGGGAGCAAACAGGAUUAGAAACCC